rnacentral:rRNA from 2 species
GAAUCCCGUAUAUGGCAUGGACUACCGUUACUCUGUGAUACACUCUCGACGAGUCGAGUUGUUUGGGAAUGCAGCUCCAAAUGGGUGGUAAAUGCCAUCUAAAGCUAAAUAUUGGCGAGAGACCGAUAGCGAACAAGUACCGUGAGGGAAAGAUGAAAAGCACUUUGGAAAGAGAGUGAAACAGUACGUGAAAUUGUUGAAAGGGAAACGCUUGAAGUCAGUCGCGCCGUUCGGGAUUCAGCCUUGCUUCUGCUCGGUUUACUUCCCGUUGGGUGGGUCAACAUCAGUUUUGGUCGGAGGAGAAAGGCUUGGGGAAGGUGGCAACAUUCGUGCUGUGUUAUAGCCCCUUGUUGUAUACUUCGACUGGGACUGAGGACCGCAGCACGCCUUUGGCCGGGGUUCGCCCACGUACGUGCUUAGGAUGUUGGCAUAAUGGCUUUAAACGACCCGUCUUGAAACACGGACCAAGGAGUCCAACACGCCCGCGAGUGUUCGGGUGGAAAACCCGUGCGCGUAAUGAAAGUGAAAGUUGGGACCUCUGUCGUGGAGGGCACCGACGCCCGGACCAGACCUUCUGUGACGGAUCUGCGGUAGAGCGUGCGUGUUGGGACCCGAAAGAUGGUGAACUAUGCCUGAAUAGGGUGAAGCCAGAGGAAACUCUGGUGGAGGCUCGUAGCGAUUCUGACGUGCAAAUCGAUCGUCAAAUUUGGGUAUAGGGGCGAAAGACUAAUCGAACCAUCUAGUAGCUGGUUCCUGCC